rnacentral:rRNA from 1 species
UGGAGAGUUUGAUCCUGGCUCAGAUUGAACGCUGGCGGCAUGCCUUACACAUGCAAGUCGAACGGCAGCACGGAGCUUGCUCUGGUGGCGAGUGGCGAACGGGUGAGUAAUAUAUCGGAACGUACCCUAGAGUGGGGGAUAACGUAGCGAAAGUUACGCUAAUACCGCAUACGAUCUAAGGAUGAAAGUGGGGGAUCGCAAGACCUCAUGCUCGUGGAGCGGCCGAUAUCUGAUUAGCUAGUUGGUAGGGUAAAAGCCUACCAAGGCAUCGAUCAGUAGCUGGUCUGAGAGGACGACCAGCCACACUGGAACUGAGACACGGUCCAGACUCCUACGGGAGGCAGCAGUGGGGAAUUUUGGACAAUGGGCGAAAGCCUGAUCCAGCAAUGCCGCGUGAGUGAAGAAGGCCUUCGGGUUGUAAAGCUCUUUUGUCAGGGAAGAAACGGUGAGAGCUAAUAUCUCUUGCUAAUGACGGUACCUGAAGAAUAAGCACCGGCUAACUACGUGCCAGCAGCCGCGGUA